UGAAUAUUUAAAACCUGGAUUAUUAGUAGUUAAGUUCUUGAAAAUUAAUAAAGAUGGCGGUAUUUUAGUCUAUUCAGAGGAAUCUGCCCUAUAAUUGAUGCACCACGAUUCAAAUUACUUAGAGUUUUAGCUUACAUAUCGCUGUAGGUUGAAUAUUUUUACUGGAUUAAGAAUGUUCAUGAGUUUGAGAGAAAGGAUAUCAAGUCAAGAUGUAGCUUAUGUCUAAGAAGAGGUGGAUUACAAUGCUUUUAUUUGUGGUUAGUAAUUUGAAAUGAUUAUUAUAAAAUGGAUUUGAUAGUAAUUUUUUAUUAAGAUUUGAAAAAUGAUUUUAGCUCUAAAUA
rnacentral:rRNA from 1 species